UGAUAAGUCAAUGCUGCUAAGAUAGCGC
rnacentral:sRNA from 1 species